rnacentral:rRNA from 1 species
UACGGAGGGGGCAAGCGUUGUUCGGAAUUACUGGGCGUAAAGCGCGCGCAGGCGGCUAUCCAAGUCAGUGGUGAAAGCCCGGAGCUCAACUCCGGAACUGCCAUUGAAACUGUUUAGCUUGAGGAUGAGAGAGGUGAGUGGAAUUCCCAGUGUAGAGGUGAAAUUCGUAGAUAUUGGGAAGAACACCGGUGGCGAAGGCGGCUCACUGGCUCAUUACUGACGCUCAGGCGCGAUAGCGUGGGGAUCAAACAGG